CCUACGGGUGGCUGCAGUGAGGAAUAUUGGUCAAUGGACGCAAGUCUGAACCAGCCAUGCCGCGUGCAGGAAGACGGCUCUAUGAGUGGUAAACUUCUUUUGUAAGAGGGUAAACGCAGAUACGCGUAUCUGUCUGAGAGUACCGUACGAAUAAGGAUAGGCUAACUCCGUGCCAGCAGACGCGGGAAUACGGAGGAUUCAAGCGUUAUCCGGAUUUAUUGGGGUUAAAGAGUGCGUAGGCGGUCGGAUAAGUUAGAGGUGAAAUCCCGGGGCUCAAAUUCGGAGUUGCCUGUGAUACGGUUCGUCUAGAGAGUAGUUGCGGUAGGCGGAAUGUAUGGUGUAGCGGUGAAAUGCUUAGAGAUCAUACAGAACACCGAUUGCGAAGGCAGCUUACCAAGCUACUUCUGACGUUGAGGCACGAAAGCGUGGGGAGCAAACAGGAUUAGAUACCCUUGUAGUC
rnacentral:rRNA from 1 species